AAAGAAUGAACGCAUGCGAUAGUGUUUGAAUCGUUGAUCCAUUUAUAUAUGACAACCUUCCCAUUGAACAGAUAUGUGACGGCGAUGCGUUCAUCACAGUUUGUGACGGAUUACGGAUACGAACGAACUAGCACUUGUUUGGCAG